GUCGUGGCUUAGUGGAAGAGCACUUGCCUAGCAUUCAUGAGGCACUGGGUUAGAUUCUCAGCACCACA
rnacentral:tRNA from 1 species